rnacentral:lncRNA from 1 species
UGGCAGGACUGCUUCCCGGCCUCUGCCCAGGCCCCAGAUGGCCGUGUGAGUCUGGUGCUGCGUGGGGACACCCGCCUCACACCCCCAUCUUGCCUGCAGAGGCCCCAGGCCCCGAGCCCAGCCCACAGGAGCGGGCCUUUGGCAGCGGGGACACCGUGGAGCUGAGCUGCCGCUCGCCGGCGGGGGUGCCCACGGAACCCACCAUCUGGGAUGAGACGGCGUGGCCUGGCGCCCUCGGACCGCGUCCUGGUGGGGCCACAGCGGCUACAGGUGCUCAACGCCUCCACGAGGACGCCGGGGCCUACAGCUGCCGCCAGCGCCUCUCCAGCGGCUGCUGUGCCUCUUCAGCGUGCGCGUGACAGACGCUCCGUCCUCGGGGGAUGACGAAGAUGGGGACGACGAGGCUGAGGACACAGCAGGGGCCCCUUACUGGACGCGGCCCGAGCGGAUGGACAAGAAGCUGCUAGCGGUGCCGGCCGCACAACAGGUUCGCUUCGCGCCUGCCGGCUGCCGGCAACACCCACGCCAUCCAUCACCUGGCUGAAGAACGGCAAGGAGUUCCGGGCGAGCACCGCAUCGGAGGAAUCAAGGUGGCCCGCGGUGGCUGGGGGUGCGGGGCGGGCCAGGCGGCGCCCAGACCAGCUAACCGCCCGUCCGCUCACCCGAGUCCACCCGCAGCUGCGGCACCAGCAGUGGAGCCUGGUAUGGAGAGCGUGGUGCCUCGGACCGCGGCAACUACACGUGCGUCGUGGAGAACAAGUUUGGCAGAAUCCAGCAGACCUACACCCUGGACGUGCUGGAGCGCUCUCCGCACCCGGCCCAUCCUCCAGGCGGGCUGCCCGCCAACCAGACCGCCGUGCUGGCAGCGACGUGGAGUUCCACUGCAAGGUGUACAGCGAUGCCCAGCCCCACAAUCCAGUGGCUGAAGCACGUGGAGGUGAACGGCAGCAAGGUGGGGCCCGACGGCACGCCCUACGUCACCGUGCUCAAGGUGGGCGGCCGCCCGGGCCGGCCGGGCGGGAGGGCAGACCAGGCGGAGCCCCGUCAGGCUGGGCCUUGGGAGAGACGCAGGCGGGGUCGCUCUGGGGGCGGCGUCUGUCCGCGUUGCCUGCAGACCCAG